rnacentral:lncRNA from 1 species
GGAAAAUCAUCAUACUUGUUGUGCUGAGGUAUAGCUAAUGAACAGAGUAAAGCUGACCACUGCCCAGUGGAGCUCACACUAAGAUGGAAGAGACUGUAAAUCAGUCAUAGCAAGUGUUUGCUGGGUUGUAUACGAACAUGAAGGGAUCAGAGACGGGAGCAGACUUAACUGGUGAUCUGGAAAACAGUUUUUUGUUGUUCGUUUGUUACUUGAAGAGAUGCAAUAAGAGGCAAGGGUCAAAACAGCCAAUAUGUGAAUCAGUGAAGAGUUAUAUUGACUGGAAAGGUUUUGCUGUUCAGAGUAUGAACAUAGGCUCAUUUCUUUCCUUCACAAGAUAUAGGAUAUAGUAUGGUAUAUAUACUAUUUUUGUAGCUGAGUUGGAUUCAGCAAAUUUUAUAAGGUUUUAAAUCCCAGAGAAAGUCAGGUGAAAUGUACCACAAACAUUGCAAGUAAAAUGAAUGUGUUUAUCUGACAGUUAAGAGAAAUUAGAUCUUUUCCAUUCAUUUUGUUUUAACCCAGGCUGCAAAAACAGUUUUAGUUGUUUACAAGGGCCUCAAUUACAUGUAGUUUUAAGAUGAAAUGUUUUUGGAGUAUGUGAGUAUCUAGACAGAUUCCUAAGCAGGAGAAGGGACACAGGUGACAUGACAUUAAGAGAACUGGCACCUCUUAGGCCUCUGUUCCUGGUGUAACUGUCCAGGAUCAGAUUUCUUUUUGAAAGGUCUAUGCUUUAUUCUUAUAUUAAACCAACCUAGUGUGAAUUCUCUUAAUGUAUAAUUUAGAGCCAGGUGCAAUGGUGCACACCCGUAAUCUCAGCUACUGAGGCAGGAGAAUUGCAAUUUCUAGGCCAGCCUUGGUGAUUUAGUGAGAACUUGUCUCAAAAAAUGAAAAGAAGUGAGCACUGAGCUUUUUAGUUCAGUGUUGGUGUGGGAGGCCCCGGCAUCAAUCCCCAGUCAUGACGGGGGGAAAGUAUAAUUUUAGGAUACGUCUAUUACAGUGGUGUAAAUACUUUGAAUAAAAGAGGAAAUACUGGUAGACGGAUUUUACUUGUAUACUAAUUUUUUUUUCUUUUAAUGCUUCUUCAUUAGAGAUUUGAAAGAACAAAUCAUCGUUAUUCCACUUUGGAAAGCAAGGGAUGGCAACAUGGAAAAUCUAAAGAAAAAUUGUUAAAUGAACUGACUGUUAUUUAAUGUAAAUGUGGAGGAACAUAUUCUGCAAUCAAUUUGAGAAAAUUUCUAAGCCUCUUAAAGGUCACCCAAAGGACUUAAAAAGAGCAUACUACAGGGACACAGCCACAUCAGUGUUUAUAGCAGCACAAUUCACAAUAGCUCAACUGUGGAAUCAACCUAGAUGUCCUUCAGUAGAUGAAUGGAUUAAAAAAAUGUGGUAUAUAAACACAAUGGACUAUUACUCAGCAAUAAAAGAGAAUAAAAUCAUGGCAUUUGUAGGUAAAUGGAUGGAGUUAGAAAAGAUAAUGCCAACUUAAGUUAGCCAAUCUCCCCAAAAAACAAAUCCGAGUGUUUUCUCUGAUAUAAGGAGGCUGAUUCAUAGUGGGGUAGGGAGAGGGAGCAUGGGAGGAAUAGAGGAACUCUAGAU